GACGAACGCUGGCGGCGUGCUUAACACAUGCAAGUCGAACGGUGAAGCUCCAGCUUGCUGGAGUGGAUCAGUGGCGAACGGGUGAGUAACACGUGAGCAACCUGCCCCUGACUCUGGAAUAAGCGCUGGAAACGGCGUCUAAUACUGGAUACGAGAAGGGUCCGCAUGGGCACUUUCUGGAAAGUUUUUCGGUUGGGGAUGGGCUCGCGGCCUAUCAGCUUGUUGGUGAGGUAAUGGCUCACCAAGGCGACGACGGGUAGCCGGCCUGAGAGGGCGACCGGCCACACUGGGACUGAGACACGGCCCAGACUCCUACGGGAGGCAGCAGUGGGGAAUAUUGCACAAUGGGCGAAAGCCUGAUGCAGCGACGCCGCGUGAGGGAUGACGGCCUUCGGGUUGUAAACCUCUUUCAGCAGGGAAGAAGCGAAAGUGACGGUACCUGCAGAAGAAGCACCGGCUAACUCCGUGC
rnacentral:rRNA from 1 species